UACGAAGGGGGCUAGCGUUGUUCGGAAUUAUUGGGCGUAAAGCGCACGUAGGCGGAUAUUUAAGUCAGGGGUGAAAUCCCGCAGCUCAACUGCGGAACUGCCUUUGAAACUGGGUAUCUUGAGUAUGGAAGAGGUAAGUGGAAUUGCGAGUGUAGAGGUGAAAUUCGUAGAUAUUCGCAGGAACACCAGUGGCGAAGGCGGCUUACUGGUCCAUUACUGACGCUGAGGUGCGAAAGCGUGGGGAGCAAACAGG
rnacentral:rRNA from 1 species